rnacentral:rRNA from 1 species
CCCCUUCGGGGGACAGGGUGACAGGUGGUGCAUGGUUGUCGUCAGCUCGUGUCGUGAGAUGUUGGGUUAAGUCCCGCAACGAGCGCAACCCUCGCCUCUAGUUGCCAGCAUUCGGUUGGGCACUCUAGAGGGACUGCCGGCGACAAGUCGGAGGAAGUGGGAUGACGUCAAAUCAUCAUGCCCCUUAUGACCUGGGCUACACACGUGCUACAAUGGGCGGUACAAAGGGCUGCGAACCCGCGAGGGGGAGCGAAUCCCAAAAAGCCGCUCUCAGUUCGGAUUGCAGGCUGCAACUCGCCUGCAUGAAGCCGGAAUCGCUAGUAAUCGCGGAUCAGCAUGCCGCGGUGAAUACGUUCCCGGGCCUU